CCUUUAAACGGUGAAACCGCGAAUGGCUCAUUAAAUCAGCUAUGGUUCCUUAGAUCGUACAUGCUACAUGGAUAACUGUAGUAAUUCUAGAGCUAAUACAUGCCACUAUGCCCUGACCCGCAAGGGAACGGGUGGAUUUAUUAGAACAGAACCAACCGGGAGCGGCUUCGGUCGUUCCUGUUGCACUCUGUGAUGACUCUGGAUAACUUUACUGAUCGCAGUCGGCCUUGUGUCGGCGACGGAUCUUUCAAAUGUCUGCCCUAUCAACUUUCGAUGGUAGGUGAUCUGCCUACCAUGGUGAUAACGGGUAACGGGGAAUCAGGGUUCGAUUCCGGAGAGGGAGCCUGA
rnacentral:rRNA from 1 species